rnacentral:rRNA from 1 species
AUUGAACGCUGGCGGCAGGCCUAACACAUGCAAGUCGAACGGCAGCACAGAAGAGCUUGCUCUUUGGGUGGCGAGUGGCGGACGGGUGAGUAAUGUCUGGGAAACUGCCCGAUGGAGGGGGAUAACUACUGGAAACGGUAGCUAAUACCGCAUAACGUCGCGAGACCAAAGUGGGGGACCUUCGGGCCUCACACCAUCGGAUGUGCCCAGAUGGGAUUAGCUAGUAGGUGGGGUAAUGGCUCACCUAGGCGACGAUCCCUAGCUGGUCCGAGAGGAUGACCGGCCACACUGGAACUGAGACACGGUCCAGACUCCUACGGGAGGCAGCAGUGGGGAAUAUUGCACAAUGGGCGCAAGCCUGAUGCAGCCAUGCCGCGUGUAUGAAGAAGGCCUUCGGGUUGUAAAGUACUUUCAGCGGGGAGGAAGGCGGUGAGGUUAAUAACCUUGCCGAUUGACGUUACCCGCAGAAGAAGCACCGGCUAACUCCGUGCCAGCCGCCGCGGUAA